rnacentral:rRNA from 1 species
CCUACGGGGGGCAGCAGUGGGGAAUAUUGCACAAUGGGCGCAAGCCUGAUGCAGCCAUGCCGCGUGUGUGAAGAAGGCCUUCGGGUUGUAAAGCACUUUCAGCGGGGAGGAAGGCGGUGAGAUUAAUACUCUCACCGAUUGACGUUACCCGCAGAAGAAGCACCGGCUAACUCCGUGCCAGCAGCCGCGGUAAUACGGAGGGUGCAAGCGUUAAUCGGAAUUACUGGGCGUAAAGCGCACGCAGGCGGUCUGUCAAGUCGGAUGUGAAAUCCCCGGGCUCAACCUGGGAACUGCAUUCGAAACUGGCAGGCUAGAUUCUUGUAGAGGGGGGUAGAAUUCCAGGUGUAGCGGUGAAAUGCGUAGAGAUCUGGAGGAAUACCGGUGGCGAAGGCGGCCCCCUGGACAAAGACUGACGCUCAGGUGCGAAAGCGUGGGGAGCAAACAGGAUUAGAUACCCCUGUAGUC